GUAAUUCACAAACAAACAUGAAAAACUUAUAUUUCUGCACAGCUCCAAGAAGUCUCACUUGCAAGUGAUACAAUUGUGCUUCAACAACCGAAAGCAAUACCAAGACCACAUGGUACAACAAACAUUAAAACCUGUAAGACAACCUCUUUACCGCAGUCAUCAACAGCAGAGUCUUCAGUGGACCUCUUAGGUCUAGAUGUUCCUAAAACAGAUACAGCUUCAGUGGAUCUUUUAGGUCUAGAUACAGCUGAUGACCCAUUUGAUUGUUUGGUGACAACAUCAGCAUCUAAC